rnacentral:rRNA from 1 species
GAUGAACGCUGGCGGCGUGCUUAACACAUGCAAGUCGAACGAUGAAGCCCAGCUUGCUGGGUGGAUUAGUGGCGAACGGGUGAGUAACACGUGAGUAACCUGCCCUUGACUCUGGGAUAAGCCUGGGAAACUGGGUCUAAUACUGGAUAUGACUUCUCAUCGCAUGGUGGGGGGUGGAAAGAUUUAUUGGUCUUGGAUGGACUCGCGGCCUAUCAGCUUGUUGGUGAGGUAAUGGCUCACCAAGGCGACGACGGGUAGCCGGCCUGAGAGGGUGACCGGCCACACUGGGCCUGAGACACGGCCCAGACUCCUGCGGGAGGCAGCAGUGGGGAAUAUUGCACAAUGGGCGCAAGCCUGAUGCAGCGACGCCGCGUGAGGGAUGACGGCCUUCGGGUUGUAAACCUCUUUCAGUAGGGAAGAAGCGAGAGUGACGGUACCUGCAGAAGAAGCGCCGGCUAACUACGUG